UAACCGCUGCAGGCUGGCUGGCCGCGAGGCUAGGCUGCGCUGGACGAGUAUCUCUUGGAAAGGCUCACCCUCGAGCAAGACUAGGAGC
rnacentral:pre_miRNA from 1 species